UAGGGUGGCAUCUGUUUAGAGCAGAUAUAAUUCAUUGUCUAGUCCUGCGCUGGCUAAAAUGUUAUUCUUUGUUGACUCCCAUCAGACUAAUAAAGAGUUAAGAGCAAAGUUAGAAUAUAAUGCAGGUUGACUUCCUCUGUCUAAAAUAUCACCAGAUAAAAUUAUCCUGUUUAAGUUGCAAAUGGUGGUGAAGUUAGUGUUGCUUAUUCCAAGAAUAAGCAGUUGUUAGUGGUCCUUACCAUUUACACUUGUUUUGCCUUCCAGAUAAAAGAAGGUGGAUAUUAAGUACAGCAGUCAAGCAGAGAGAAGUCAAACUACCAUCAAUUGCACAUCCAGUGAUACAACUGGAAUGUAUACUAAUGCAUACCGUGGAUGAUUUAUUUUGGUUAUCAGAGGCAGCUGAAAGAAGCAGGCUGGAAAAAGCAGAAUGUGGUGAGAGCAGAGCAGUGCCAUGAGUGUAGUAGCAGUGUGCAAAAGGAGCCUCAGUUCUACCAUCAGAUACAGAGACCAGGCCUGGUUGUUGGCUGAAGUCAAUGAAGUGCACCUCUUAAUAGCGGCAGAGAAUUUGGCCUGCUCACUUGGACUAUGAGCUUCAUCUUCUCAGACAUCUGGUAUCAUGCAAGCAUUCAGUCACAGAGGUGGGGAGUCUAGUGAUCUAUUUCCUCCUUAAGGAAAUAGAAGCAACAGUAAAACCAUCAACAGAAAUCAAAAAGUGGCUGCAUGUUGGGAAGAGGAACUUAAAAAUGUUAUCUCUGUCUUAAACACAAAGCUCUGGCAAUUCCUAAAGGUUCGGCCUUUGGUGUUUUUUCCCUCAACCUCUUGGAUAUUUUUGGCAUAUGGGACUAGAAAAGCAGGGCCUGUAUGGCCCCAAGAUUGACAGACCAGUGUGAUAACUCAUGCACUGUGUGAGACGGGGUUGUACUGCACUGCUCUUUGUGAUGUUGUUGGAAGUGGGAUGGAGAGUUAGAGGCUCAAGAGAUGCUACAUAUUUUUAACAUUUCAUAGAAGCCUGUUUUCAAAUUCUGCUCUCCUUUGCCUCAGUUCUGAGGCGUAACUAGGAACUCAAGUGCCCUGCACAGCAGCUGCCACAGGGAAGUGUCAAUGGCUGUGCUGCUCGUGGCAUGGUGGUCAGACCUGCAGUGUAGCUGCUGCUGUUUUUGGGCUCCUCCUCUAUUAUGCUGCUGCAUGAGUAUGGAUCACAUGUGACUAUUGAGCUCAUUAGUGUUACUGGACUUAAUUUAAGUAAAAUAAUAGCAAAAUUCAGAGUUGGGUGAGCAUUCAGCUAAAUGCACCAUACAGUUAAAAGGACGUUUUGCCACCUGACAGAACAGUGCAUACUGCUUGGUGCUUACACUACCAUCAUAGCAAAAAAAGAGCAAACCAGAAGCAUCUCAGCUGUUGUGUCUGAGCCCAGAAUCUCAUGCAGGAAGUGCUGAAAGCUUGUGGUGCUUCUGUGACUAAGCGUUAUAUCAGUGGGGACAAAAUCCCACAACAAAAUGCAGAGGGUGUGCAGUCAGAAAGGGUGGGCCCCAAUUUAACUUGCAUUAAAGGUGGUAUGAAGUAAAAAAAAACUAAGAAGAAAACCAGUGUGCCAUUUCCUGCUCCCUGAUGUACAAGGAUGUUCUUACAGUGGUGGGUUUACAAAAGAACUCAACUCAUUAAGGGGCACCUAGAGAGAGGCUGAGUUUCCCAAAGUGGUCAGCACCUGACCUAUUGAGCUCUUUUGAAAUUCUGGGCCCAAUUAUGCAUUCUGUCCCUUUGUUUCCACACACAAAUGGGGGUCAUUGUAGGGGUACCACCAGCACCAUCUAAGCCAUUGCAGUACUGAUGUAGACAGGCACUGCUUGAGUGGCAGGUCAGUUUGAUUGUACCAUAGUUCCACAUAGCCAAUGAAACAGUCAACAAGAGCAAUGUCGCUUUUCAGUCCUCCCUCACACCCACUGGUUUCAGGCAGAUCCAAGUACAAUCAAGGUGUGACUUAGCCAUUUUCUACUUUACCAAUUCUUAGCUGUUCUCUUCUUCAGUAUGCAUUUGAAAAGUCUUCAACAAAAGUCAAAUAAAAAUAAGUCAUAAGUACUCUCUCUGGAUCCAUAGAUAAUCAGCCCCAGAAGAUCACAACACUUAACUCAAUUUCCUGAAGUUAAUGAGUAUAUAUUUGUAUAUGUAUGUGUGGGGAUCCACCAUUUAAAGCAAUGAAUGAAAGAAGGCAUUUCCCUUCCUGGAACCUAUGGUGGGGUAGCAGGUAGGCAACUGAACUGCCCAGACUCCUAGGCUAGGGACAGACAUUCAAAAAGUCUGAGCCUGAAUCAAUUCAAUCUUUGCAGGUUAGUCUAACCUGGCUAGGCUAAAUCAGUUCUGUAACCAGACAGACAUCCCAGAAAAGCAGGUACAUGCCUGAAGUGGCUAAGGCCAGAAGCUGGGGGCCACUAAAGCAGCCCUCCCAUCCCUUACACAGCACUGAGAGUCAGACCCCAGCAGGAUGCUUUGAUUAGCCCAGCAGGGAAUUGAUAACAGUGUUUAUCACCCCCUAACAAAGUGUUUAUCACCCCAUUAAGAAAAUAACAGAGGGACAUUACCAGCUGCCUGUUGAUUCUACCGGUUGAUUCAGCAGGGACCAUAGCCAGGAUGUGGUCUGCUAGCUAAUACACAGACAUCUCUCUGCAAGGCAGAGGGGAGGGGUGGGGAGCAGGGAUUCCUGCAGUCUGUGCUGGAACUGCAGCCAGGGAGCAGAGGAAAGGGGCCAGCCCUGCUGUGGAGCAGAGAGCCCCACCCAGCCCAGAGAGCAUGUCGGGAUGCUGGGGGAGUCUGGUUUAUCUUAAACCAGCAAGGGAUCUGGGGCAGACAUUGCAUAAACUGGUUUGACCCAAAUCAGUUAAGUCUGAUACUACAUUCCACCAGGUUUAUCUCAAACCAGUUUCAGCCAUUUUCAAACUGGUUCAUGUGCACUGACCAUCUGUUCUGUUACAGGUUUAAACCUGUUUCUGACCACUUGAACCAGUUUAUGUGUAAUGUUUGUCCCUAGCCCUAAAGCCUGAAACCCCACAUAGAUGUAUAGUAUGGUCAGAGUACCUCCUGACCUCUCUUUACCUCCUUAGCACUAUCCAAGAAUUGCUGGUCAUUUUUCUUAGAGAAAUGUACUUUCUUUAGUAGCAAAACAAUAUGAAGUGAAGGACGAGAGACUGUGAGAGCUGAGGAAAUGUCACCGGAGGACCUGGACCCUUUCUAUAGCUGGUUUCGAGCUAGAUGCAUGAGAGAAAAGGAGCCAGCACAUUACCAUUAUACUAAAAGACAUAUAAUUUCCAAAUGCUUUGUGCACAGGGUUAAAACAAGCUUCCUAUGUCCUUCAGCAUGUCACAAUACACUACCAAUUUCCAGACCUGAACUAAAUCCACUAGCAGGUAGGGUAAUAUUAUGGGGCCAUGUCCACAAUCUUUAUUGUGGACAGGAGUUUAAUAGGUAGGUGCUACAUCUGAGACUAUAUCUUGUAGAUAUUAUAACAUGAGGCAGAAUCAUUGGAAACAAUUGUCAUCAUCAAUGACUAAAUGAAAAAUGCUGCCAUGUUAAAGGUUCAAAUAUAUCAGUGUAGAUAUAAAAGAUGUCAGAACCACUGCAACAAGCUAUGGAUUGGUAGUCUUGCAUUCUUUGUAUCAUAUGCUUCUCAGGGCUUGUAUUGUAUAUACCAUACUGUUUAUUUGUCUGUUGCAUUAUAGUGACACUUGCUAACACAAAUAAUUGUUAAAUACUUGUUAAUCUUUUAGGGCCAUGUUCUGCAAAAUAUUUCACUGCAUGCCUAAAUGUAAAUAUGUUUCAAAUUUGAUACAUGCUUAAACAGCUUGUUUUAAUUACAAUGCCUUUGUUCCCAGGGGUAAAUGGCUUAGAAGUAGAGGCUUGGCAUACAAUGUCUUUGCAAAGGAUAUAGCCCAGGACCUCUUUCACAUUUACACUUAAGAAUGCUUAUUUUACUGAAGCCACUCUAAAUCUCUAGUAUUUCCACCCCCACCCCCACAAAAACAAAGUGGACAAAUGCUUUUUGAAGGAUAUCUAACCCAAGUGGAUUUUGAUUAAGUGAAUAAGGAAGAAAUUCUACUUUGGAUAACAACUGCUAAUUAGUUAGCAAACUAUCUAUCACAGCAUGAGCAAUAGAUGGCCCAUGGACCAGAUUUGGCCCGUGGAGCUGUCUCAUCUUGCCUGCAGGUUUCCCCAUGGGUCUUGAAAUUUGAUGGUAAGGGAGUGGUGGCAGCAUUAAUACUCAUUUUACCACCAAAUUUUCAGACCUGUGGGGAGCCCUGUGUAAUGCAGCUCUGUGCUGGGGCUGUGGACCUAAUCCAUGUGCCAGAUUGGAGCUGUAGAUUGGCCCUGCACCUAAAUUAAGCACCGGUGAUUUAUCAGUAUUUAAGACAGUGGAUGCUGUAUGUCCAGAGCGCACAGCAGCUCUCAUUUAACAUCUAUGCUAUGGUAGUGACUGGAUGCCUCAACCAGGUUGAAGCCCAUUGUAUUAUGCACUAUGCAAACAGACGGUGACAGUUAUAUGUUGUUUUCACAUGUUCAUACGUAUUUUCAAUUUUUUUUGCAUUCUGGGAUUAUGUCCUUUAAAGUGUUCAACAUUAAUGAUUUUUAAAUGACCAUAAGUCAAUAAAAUAGCUGAUUAGGAUGCAUAAUUAUUUCUCUUGUUGUCACACAUUUGUGUGCAGGAUAAAGUAUCAGACUGAGAUUUUCUGUCUCUAGUGCCCUGAUUGUGAGCAGAAAUGGGUCCUAAUAGCCUCAUUCAAAGCUCUUUGAAGUCAAUAGGAAGACUCCCAUUGGGAGCCAUAAAAGUCCAGACUAGAAUUUUCACACUAGGGCCUUGUCUAUAUGUGAAAAUCACUCAAUUUAUGUAUCUUAGUUUAAAAACUGCUUUAGUUAAAUGCAUGUAAACACCCCUGUGGACACACUUUUUGCUUUAAUUUGUCCCUUCUUGAUUUUGCUUUAAGUUGGUCAAAGUCUAUAAUUUAUGUACUUUUAAAUCAUGUUAUAAGUAUUUUAAUUGCUGAAAAAUGAAAAAUAAAUAUGAAGCAUUU